CACCCUUAUUUGCAGCCAUAUGUUGAUCAGUAUCGUCCAUCCUUCAGCUGCCCUUCGACAAAUUGCUCACCGGAUAAGCAUAUUUCUGCUAGUCGUGAUAAUAGGAAAAAUAUGGCUGAGAGUCAGAAUAGCAAUAGCUCAUGUAGUGAUAAAGAUAGUUUGCUUUCAAGUGACAGAAAUACUGCCACAAUGGUUUCAAAUAGCAAUAGUAAGGCCACUGACACAGAUUCAAUUUCUAUUGAUGAUGAAGAUGGCACCGAGCAGCACCCAGCAAGCGAAGAAGAGAAUGGCCCCAUUAUUUGCACUGCCAAAGGUGAUGAAAAAGGAAUAGUAAAACCUUCUUAUAUGGAACAGGGAUAUAACGUUCAAUCAAAGCAACCAAAAACCAUAAAAAGUAUAAUGAUGGCUUUGAAAGAAGGUAAAGUAAGAGAAAAUGGUUCCCCUAUGAGAGGCAACCGUACAAAAGCUGUAGGUGGUUUGACUCAAAGAAUUAAUAUAGAGGCAUCACCCAAAGUUCUGAAGCCACCUGCUCCUGCUCUGGGUUCUAAGUCUAAUGCAGAUACACCAACAGUUGCUUCAGCAAAAUUACCAUUAGAUUCUGCAAAAAGGAUAACAGGAUCACACACUUUGAAGCACCAGGUAUGAUUGCCACUAACU
rnacentral:lncRNA from 1 species